CAUUCUCACACUUCAGCUUACACUCUCGGUGUCGAACCCUCUCAAUCUCACUCGUACACACACUUCUGCCGAUCGCCAGCUCUGAACUCGUCUGCAUCCCCGUCUCGACACACAAGUCAUGGCUACACCACUACUGAUACUUACUAUACUAUCUUUGGUUGCGGCCGGAAUCGAUGCAGGCCACAACGUCACCAUCUCUCUGUUGGACUCCGCUAUUGCCAGAGGAGCUGUCUGUCUAGACGGCACCCCUCCAGCCUAUGCUUAUAGCCCAGGGUUCGGUGAUGGAGUAGACAACUGGCACGUAUUCCUAGAGGUGUAUGAAUAUGAACAGUUUUUUUGGAUUUUUAUCUGUAUGUUCAUGGCUUUAUCAUUUACUUCUAUUAUUGUUAAGUUCAUAAGCUUAUAUGGUAAUAAGACUGAUAGAAAUUCAUGGGUUUCAUCCUAAAACCAAUUGGUGAUAGGAGGAGGGGCCCAUGAGACUUAUAUACUAGUUUCAGUUUUAUCUUGGCACCGAUGUGGGACAGUUAUAUGUUAUAUUUUUAGUUUCAAUUGCCAACAAAGACUAACAAUUUGGAGUUGCAAGGGUGUGGUGUCAGAAUGUAGAUGACUGCCUCAAUAGAUGCAGAUAUCCUUUAGGAAGUAGUGCUAAGCUUAUAUCGACGAAGAAUGGUAGCGUGCCCUUCGAAGGGAUGCUCAACAACAAUUCCACCUUUAAUCCCGAUUUCUACAAUUGGCAUAUGUUCAAAAUCUUCUACUGUGACGGCUCAUCUUUCAUGUCCAAUGUUGAGGAUGUAGACACGAAGCACAACCUGACUUACAGAGGUGCGAGAAUAUAUGAUGCCAUGAUGGAGGAGCUUCUACCAAUCGGAAUGGGAAAUGCUAAAAAUGUACGGAGUAUGUGUUAUUAAGUUAUAGUAACUCUUGAAUUAAUUAACUUCUGGAUGUUACUUGAUAUUAAUUUAUAUUAAUUUUGUAGGCUUUAUUAUCAGGCACUUCGGCAGGUGGAUUAGCCACUAUUUUACACUGUGAUAAGUUUCAAUCGUUGUUUCACAAAACAACUAGAGUGAAAUUCGUAUCUGAUACAGGCUUUUUUGUUCAUGGGCAAGACUAUCUAGAUUAAUUACCUAAUUAUCAAAAUAUUUUUUUAUUGAAUAUAUUAUUGUAAACUAUGUCAUUGAUUAAUUUUGUUUGGCUUACUAGAGAGCUUUUAUGGCAGCUGAUUGGAGAGAAGCUUUCUUCUUUAGUGUGGUAUCAGCACAUGCAUGCACAUGUAUGUACUCUGCUUAUUUCAUUUUACUUUGUUUUAUAAUCAAGUAGUACUAUAUAUUAUUAACACGUGUAUUCUUACAUUAGUUCCUCACUUUUGCUAUAUACAUAUAUGAAUAUGUUACCCACAUCAUGCACAUCCAAAUUUAGCCCAAUUUUGGUACGAAUAAAUGAUAUGCUCGGAUUUUGCACUGUUUUAAGGCCUUUAUUUGGUCUGUUUUUAAUGUCAAAAUCACAAUUCAUGUCCAUAUUUUGCAUAUUUUCUCUAUUUUGGUAUUUUGACGUGUUUUGUGAGAUUUGUGCAUAUUUGAUCCUAAAAAGACAGCAAAAAGUCGAAGUUAGAAAUUUGGAGCCUUCAAGAUGCCCAGCGGUCCGCUGCAACUCAUACAACGACCGUUGGGGCCCAACGACCGUUGAGUCAGUAGCGGUCCGCUCCAGAGAAAGUUGUGCUGAAACGAAGAACACGCCAGCUACCGCUCGAAGAGUUUCCAAAGCUACGAGAUUAUCCAUUGCGACCGCUGCAACACUGUGUAGCGACCGCUAUCCAAGAGGCAGAGGCUACGGAUCAAUGUGCAGCCACCGCUGGCCAAGGUGCAGCGGCCCGCUGCGAAAACGAAGCGCACGAAUUUUACCUACUUUCUCCCCAAGAUUUACCAAACUUAGCCACCUUUUACCUUAUUUCAUGCUGCUCGAAAUUUCCUCUAUAUAUAUCCCCUCAAACCUCUUCAUUAGGAUCUUCUUUUUGCCUUAUAAUUCUAGAGCAUAAAAUUGAGAGAGUUCUUCAUUGUGCAAGAGGUUGAAGAAGAAAUCAA